GACGAACGCUGGCGGCGUGCUUAACACAUGCAAGUCGAACGGAAAGGCCCUGCUUUUGUGGGGUGCUCGGGUGGCGAACGGGUGAGUAACACGUGAGUAACCUGCCCUUGACUUUGGGAUAACUUCAGGAAACUGGGGCUAAUACCGGAUAGGAGCUCCUGCUGCAUGGUGGGGGUUGGAAAGUUUCGGCGGUUGGGGAUGGACUCGCGGCUUAUCAGCUUGUUGGUGGGGUAGUGGCUUACCAAGGCUUUGACGGGUAGCCGGCCUGAGAGGGUGACCGGCCACAUUGGGACUGAGAUACGGCCCAGACUCCUACGGGAGGCAGCAGUGGGGAAUAUUGCACAAUGGGCGGAAGCCUGAUGCAGCAACGCCGCGUGCGGGAUGACGGCCUUCGGGUUGUAAACCGCUUUCGCCUGUGACGAAGCGUGAGUGACGGUAAUGGGUAAAGAAGCACCAGCUAACUACGUG
rnacentral:rRNA from 1 species